CGGCGGCAGCCCGGAGCGGUCCCCGAGCCGCCGUCUUUCCGCCGCCGCACUGCUGCAGAGUCAACACAUUCAACUGUGUCUCAUAUUUUCAAAGGUCCAAAACCGCAAGGCGUCUUCGAGAUGUUCGUCUUUGGUGUCUGGUGCUUUGUGGAGAAACAGUCAGCUUCCUAUAUUUGGACGUGAUAGUGCCUUCUGUUACAAACAUUAGAGCAGCAGCAGCAGCUGGUAACUGAAAGUCUCCACCAAGUGAAAUAGCUUGUGCUAGCAGCAUCAUCAGAGCAGCACCUGAGAGCCCUUGAGCUGCUGCUGCUGGAGUCUGAAGUGCAGCAAGAGAGCGACAUCCGUGAGAUGGAUAGAUGGCUCAACAACAGCAACAUCAGUUCCAGUGAGUAUGAGAUGCUUGAGUGGUAACGUUAGAUGAUGGCUGCUGAAAGGCAGUGUGAUGCCUCCCUUCUGGAGCAGGAGGUGGAGAUAUUUGAUUGGAUGGGAGAACUACCAGAAAGAUCGACUGAACUGCUCAAUCCUGGGACCUAGAAUAUAAAAGGUGACAUCAACACCGCCACGACAGGAGACGGCUGUGACACGUGCACCUAGAGCGGUGAUUGUGGGGGCGGGUGUCACACACACACACACACACACACACACACACACACACACACACACACACGAGCGGUCUGCACCGUCGUGCAACGAUCUCCCACCCCCGAGGCUGGCGAUGGUGAAGGCUCCAAGAUGCAGCGGCAUCAGCGUGUGCCCUCUCCACAGCCUAGAUGCUUCCUCAGCAGCUCACAACCACCACCUCUUCCUCCUCCCGCUGUUCAUCCACGCCAGCAGCAAAAGUAGAUGGACAUGGCAACAACGCCUCAUUAAGCGAUAAUUGUGGCACCAUUGGAUUGAUUGGCUGAUUGCAUGGAAUGCGUAAAACAACGAUGUAACUGAUAUUGCUGCAGAGGUCUGUGUCUAUGGUCGAGAAGGAAACAGCCUGUGGCUGUUGCUGCUAUCAAACAUUCCAUAGAGUGAUGGUGGUGGUUGCCUACGACAAAGGCCAAAUCGAUCAGCACUGCUGCUAGUCCUCAGCUCACAGUCUUACCUGGAGCACAACAUUUGUACUGUAAUUAAUAAUGUCUGUAAUGUAAAUAAAUCUAUGUCUAUAUAACUUGUAUAAAAAAGGUCGAUGGACUAAAACACUCACACACAACACUUCUCAGUGUCAACAGAAUUUUUUCAUGUCCUAAUUUACACAUAUGUGUGUUGGUAAAUAAAACAUCGCAGCCAUCUGCUGAGGUGAUAAACUGUUAUAUAACACUUGGAGAUGGAAAUCAUGCCUUAAUAUCUCACUGCUUUCACAAGAAUGUCUUAAUUUUCUACUUAGACCUGUGGAUGAGCUAUCAUGAAGUGUUGAUGUUAACCACCUAUUGAUGUGGUCAGUUGCCUUGCCGCUUGGAUAACACUGGUUCCAGCCCGAUUACUGACAUUAAGCAACGUUGGGCUCAGCUAGUGCUUAGAUGGAUGACUUUACAGGGAAAAUAAAAUGCCGUUGGUUUUGAAGGCACGCAAGUCUCCGAAGUAAUGUUCAGAUGAAAGAUUUUCUCCAGGCUGUUGUGCCAUUAAAAGAAACGAUUUACAAUAACAUGAGUUAGUAUUACUUCAAAGUGUAGUAACAACAAUACUAUCCUGGAGGUUAAAAUGACACUUUAUUAACGAUCUGGACGACUUCUGCCUAUAUUAUACAGUGACAAGUGGUUUUGUGCAUGGCUGUGUUGAAGUGUCAAAUUCAUUAAAGGAGCGGCAUUGUACUUGAAAGUGUCAUCCGUGGUCUAUAGUUCCGCUUGGGACGCCAUUCAGCUGACGUGCUAUGCAUCCAGACCACCUUAGCUUGCAGAGUCAAAUACGUCUGUGAUACAGGCACAAGAAGUGUAUCAAGAAUAGAUAAAUUCCUACAUCUGUCAACACCCUCUGGCGUCUCCAUCCGCCGAGAUAUUCAUGACUAGCGGAUGGCGUAGAAACAGAAUCCACUAAAAUGUGAAUGCGGCAUGGAAGAUGAACAAAACCAAACAUUCCAAGAACGUCAGUAGUGCUAUUCAUGGAGAGAAACUCAAAUGGAAUUGGAAUGCGACCACAGUCGUUUAGUCAGCAACAAAAACAACACUGUGAUCUAGAUUGCCAUAUCUGUGAUAAUCCAGGUAUCGGUGCACACGUUGGUGGCCACGAUCUUGUUGUUAAGGAUAACACUGGUGGCUGGAAUAGUUUUAUGUUCAAUAUGUACUUGCCUGGCUGAACAUUAAACUUCUUUUGCUAUCAAAUUAAAGCUUAUAAAAUUCACCCAAAACUGCGACUGUGGCACUCUCGCCGUGGGAGUACAGCGCAGUGUGGAUUUGGUACCCUCUAAAAGCUAUCUAAGUCCAUUCCUCUGGUGGACAUUCAACCCCUGUGCCACCCGAUACCAGAUGGAUACUUGGAAACUGUGUAAACUAAAAUGUAAUGUAGUGGUGUCGUAAUAUUUAUUGAUUUCCUGUAUAUUUCACAUGUGAUGUAUGUGAGACUGUAUAUCUCAAUAGAUUGUAAUGUCACAAGCUUUUAUCA